UACGGGGGGGGCAAGCGUUGUUCGGAAUUACUGGGCGUAAAGGGCUCGUAGGCGGCCAACUAAGUCAGACGUGAAAUCCCUCGGCUUAACCGGGGAACUGCGUCUGAUACUGGAUGGCUUGAGUUUGGGAGAGGGAUGCGGAAUUCCAGGUGUAGCGGUGAAAUGCGUAGAUAUCUGGAGGAACGCCGGUGGCGAAGGCGGCAUCCUGGGCCGACACUGACACUGAGGAGCGAAAGCCAGGGGAGCAAACGGG
rnacentral:rRNA from 1 species